UUUUAGUGGCGAACGGGUGAGUAACACGUAAGCAACCUACCCUAAAGACGAGGAUAACCAUUGGAAACAGUGGCUAAGACUGGAUAGGAAGAAAUAAGGCAUCUUUUUUCUUUUAAAAGACCUAGUGAUAGGUAUACUUUAGGAGGGGCUUGCGCCAUAUUAGUUAGUUGGUAGGGUAAUGGCCUACCAAGACGAUGAUGUGUAGCUGGACUGAGAGGUUGAACAGCCACAUUGGGACUGAGACACGGCCCAAACUCCUACGGGAGGCAGCAGUAGGGAAUUUUCGGCAAUGGAGGAAACUCUGACCGAGCAACGCCGCGUGAACGACGAAGUACUUUGGUAUGUAAAGUUCUUUUAUCAAGGAAGAAAAGCAAGUGGUGAACCAUUUGUUUGCCGGUACUUGAUGAAUAAGCCCCGGCUAAUUAUGUGCCAGCAGCCGCGGUAAGACAUAAGGGGCAAGUGUUAUCCGGAAUUAUUGGGCGUAAAGGGUGCGUAGGCGGUCUAGUAAGUCAGUGGUGUAAUGGCAACGCUCAACGUUGUCCGGCUAUUGAAACUGCUAAACUUGAGUUAGAUAGAGGCGAGUGGAAUUCCAUGUGUAGCGGUAAAAUGCGUAAAUAUAUGGAGGAACACCAGAGGCGUAGGCGGCUCGCUGGGUCUUAACUGACGCUGAGGCACGAAAGCGUGGGGAGCAAACAGGAUUAGAUACCCUGGUAGUCCACGCCGUAAACGAUGAGUACUAAGUGUCGGGUUAAACCGGUACUGAAGUUAACACAUUAAGUACUCCGCCUGAGUAGUACGUACGCAAGUAUGAAACUUAAAGGAAUUGACGGGACUCCGCACAAGCGGUGGAUCAUGUUGUUUAAUUCGAAGAUACCCGAAAAACCUUACCAGGUCUUGACAUGUUUUUGCGAAACGGUAGUAAUAUCGUGGAGGUUAUCAGAAACACAGGUGGUGCAUGGUUGUCGUCAGCUCGUGUCGUGAGAUGUUAGGUUAAGUCCUAAAACGAGCGAAACCCUUAUCGUUAGUUGCCAGCACGUUAUGGUGGGGACUUUAACGAGACUGCCAGUGAUAAAUUGGAGGAAGGUGAGGAUCACGUCAAAUCAGCAUGCCCCUUAUGACCUGGGCUACAAACGUGAUACAAUGGCUGUUACAAAGGGUAGCUGAAACGCAAGUUCUUGGCCAAUCCCCAAAAACAGUCUCAGUCCGGAUUGAAGUCUGCAACUCGACUUCAUGAAGUUGGAAUCGCUAGUAAUCGCGAAUCAGCAUGUCGCGGUGAAUACGUUCUCGGGGUUUGUACACACCGCCCGUCAAACCACGAAAGUUGGCAAUACCCCAAAACGGUAGCCUAACUCGUUUAUCGAGAGGGCGCUGUCUAAGGUAGGGUCGAUGAUUGGGGUUAAGUCGUAACAAGGUAUCCCUACCGGAAGGUGGGGAUG
rnacentral:rRNA from 1 species